AACCAAUUUACAAAAGAGGAUGGCAACAGGAAGCAAAGGAAACAAAAAAAAGGAGUGUCAAUGUGAAUGGAGUUAGAAGGAGCGUUCAAGAUGCGGAUGGAGAUAGAUGGAAAGUUGGAUGACAAGUGGGAGUAAGCUUGUCAUUGUUUUUCUUGUUAAUUUAGUUGCAUAAAGAAAUGAGAUCAAGUGCAAGGUUGUUGAUGCCUUUUAUUUUUUUAAUGAAAUUGCAUAUAUAUUAUAGUUGUAAGAAAGAAGGAGUAUGCUGCUUGGAUUGGUGGAAGGAAUUGUUGGACUCAUACAAAGAUGGAAAGGUGUGUUGUUUGUUAGAUUAUGUGUAUAUUAAUUUUAUUUUGGAUUAAAGGUGUCUUCAAUAAUGGUCAUGCUAUAUUUUUUCACGAGUAUGGCUCAUUAGAUGUGAUGUAUUGAUUCGUUACUACUUUGGCCGAACCAUAUUCAUGUGGUUCCUCACAUUUUUAAUUGCAAUAUUUUUAUAUAGACUUUUACAUAAUCUGUCUCCCAAAUCGUAAACAAACCUUGUUAGUUAUUUUAUCGAAACAUGUAUUCUUUAUACAAUAAACACAUGUAGAUGGAACAAUUGUCUUGGUUAACCAUUGAUCAAUCCAUAAUGCGAACAAAUAAAAAACUAAAAAUAUUUUUAGCAUGUCUAAACUGUACUCUGACAUGACACCUAUUUACACCGUGAAACCCAUAGCUCACAGUAGAGCACAAACAUGUCUAUUAUUUCAAACACAAGUCCUACGUUAUGCACACCAAUUUUUAUUCAUGUGUUUACACAAAACUGCCAAACUCCAUAUGCAUCUUCAUUGGAUAGUCACAAUUUCCUGGCUUAUUAACUUUGUUUCAUCUUCUCAUUUAUAAGAUUUUCAUCUUCAUUUCUUAUUUGAAAUCCCGCAAUUAAGAUACAAAUUUACCCCCAGUUUCAACAUAUUUUUUAUAUAAUAAUAUUCAGAUUGGUAAUGAACUCACCUGUUUGCAUCCAUGUUUGCAUCAUCGUUGGCUAGGAACCCAUCGAAGGAAGUAAACUUUUCUGCUUCACGCAUGCAUUUCGUAAUUUUUUUAGACUUACUUGAUUCCUUGACGAUUGUCAUGGCUUUUCCCAUGAGCAUCCUUGCAUUCAAAUUCUUCAUGCUUGAAUCACCCUUCUCUUCGUAAGGUUUUUAUUUUUUUUCCUUUAUAACUUUCGCUUCUUCCUGCCAUGUUGCUCCUCGUUUCUGGUUUUGUCAAAUGAAGAGUUGCACCCACGAAUAUAUUACAGUGUAACCUAUACAUGCAGCCAUUGAGACUUAUUUACUAUUUAAGGACACCAUUACUUGUCACACCCACGUUGCAACUACAGGCAUGCAACAACAAUGAUCAGUGUGACCAUUGGCAUGGCCAUGCAGCGGCACAGGACCAAGCCGUGCUCACAGACGCACACAGCGGCAAAGCAUCAAGCGACAAAUGACCAACGUGACCAUUCACACGCACAUGUAGCGGCACAAGACCAAGCCGUGCUCACGAGCGCACACAGCGGCAAAGCAUCAAGCAGCACCACAUCUCUAGAACCCAUGCAAAGGCGUAUACCAAGCACAAGGUAGCUAUAUCUAUGUAUAUCUCCCUCAUUAAAUUGUAGUAGUUCUGAUGAGUUUAAGCAGUUUGUUCUUCUUCUUCGUAACUCAUCCUUCCCGAUCUCAUUUGUAUCUCACUUUGACACAAGAAAAUUUGUUUCCUUCAUCCACAAAAUCAAACAUGGCUAAGCCCCCCAGUCUAUAUGGCAAGGCGCACUAGGAGUACUAUCGGAACCGGUGGGCAUUACAUGAACAUGGAGCUGGGGAUAUGACGUCAUCCAAUUCAAGGUACACUAAGAAACACGCAAAAAAUUAUUUAGUGAACCACCUAAGAAGCAGGUGGAUCCUUCUGGCGUGGAGGAGAAUAUCAACCCUCCUAUCGCUCCCAUCGAGAAAAAGGAAGAUCCUACAGCCGUUGUCAAGAAAAAUAACAUACCCAUAAGGAUUGGCGAUGAUCCUUAUGAUGAGAGAGUGAUGAGGAUUUACUGACGCCUGAAGAGUCAGAUUCAUCUCCUGACACGAAGAUGAAGGUCAAGGCUCGAAUGAAGUUCAGGGUCCCGUUCACAAAGAACCUAACGAUGACUCAUAUGAAGAUGGAGACACAUCUAAACCUAAAGCCAAGAAGAAGCUGCUUUUCUAGUUCAUUCGGUGGCUACACUUAUUUGAAAGAAUGCAGAAAUAAAAAAUGCUAAACAAUGAAUGAACUAGAAAAGUAGCUUCUUCUUGCCAUUAGGUUUAGAUGUGUCACCGUUUCAUGUGAGUCAUCGUUAGGUUCUUUGUGAAUGGGACUCUGAACUUCAUUCGAACCUUGACCUUCAUCUUCGGUGUCAGAAGAUGAAUCCGACUUUUCAGGCGUCGGUAAAUCCUCAUCACUACUGUCAUCCUAAGGAUCAUCGAAGAUCCUUAUGGGUCUGUUGUUUUUCUUGACAAUGGCCGAAGGAUCUUCCUUUUUCUUGAUGGGAGUGAUAGGAAGGUUGAUAUUCUCCUCCACGCUAGAAGGAUCCACCUGCUUCUUAGGUGGUUCGCUAAAUAUUUUUUUGUGAGUUUUCUUUGUGUACCUUGAAUUGGACGACGUCGUAUCCCCAGCUCCAUGUUCAUGUUGAAAGGAUCAAGAUGCCCAAGAGGGGGGUGAAUUGGGCUUCUCUAAAAAUUUAAGCAACCUAUAAGCUCCAAUUCAACCCCUUGUGCCUAGUGUGACCUAGAGAGCUACUGGAUAAAAGUUUUGCAACCUAAUUCCAAUCCUUUUCUAGCAUGGCAAUUCUAAGAAUGUAAAAGCACAAAGUAAAUGCUAGAAUGUAGAGGAGUAGUGGAAGAAAGUGCUCGGCGAUGUUUUGCCGAGGUAUCGGAGAGUCGCCACUCUCCACUAGUCCUCGUUGGAGCACCCGCGUAAGGGUCUUGCUCCCCCUUGGUCCGCGCAAGGACCAAGUGCUCUCUAUGGGCUGAUUCUUCGACACUCCGUCGCGGUGAAUCGCCCAAAACCGCUCACAAGCUUGACACGAGCCACCCACAAGUACUCCGGGCGGUCUUCGUGCCUCCAAUCACCACCGAACCGUCUAGGUGAUGGCGAUCACCAAGAGUAACAAGCAAAGAACUCUCACUUGACCCAAACAAGGCUCUAGAGAGUGGUGGAUGCACACUUGACUCUUGGAACUCACUAGAGAAGGAUUAACUCAAGAAAUCGCUCAAACUUCAAUCCUCUCUAGGCUCUUGCUACUCUCUUGCUCCACAACAAGUUUCUCUGAUGUUCAAAUGGGCAAGAGAGCUUUCAUGGACGAGGUGGAGGAGUAUAAAUACUAUCCACGAAGUCCAAAGGUCGGCCAACCGUUUUCCACUGAAAACGGGGUCACCGGACGCACAUUAUGUUGCAUCGGACGCACUGCACCGAGCGUCCGGUGCUUCAUAACGGCUAACUGUACUUGCUUCUGACACGGCACCGGACGCUAACUCCCAGCGUCCGGUGCACCGUUCGGUGCUCGGGGAAAACUUACAAGCUCCCUGCGCAAGGGACCGGACGCUACCCGGCGCGUCCGGUGCUAGCGUCCGGUGCUCGGGGAAGGCUUGCAACCUCCCUGGGUAAGGGACCGGACGCUACCCGGUGCGUCCGGUGCUAGCGUCCGGUGCUUAACCCUAAGCACGGCACUGACCUAACUGCUGAGGAACUCACCGGACGCACUCACAGAGCGUCCGGUGCAGCGUCCAGUGCCCCCUUGGGCACCCUAACUUCGUCGAAACGCGAUCGCUCCAAAACGAAGUUUGCUCCUCUCGAACUAAGGACUAUGUCUGAGCUACCUAGUGCUAGGUUUACCAAGUGUGCACCACACCUAAACCUAAAGCCUUGCCUAAGUCAAGCUACUAGAUCAAAGCCCCUCUUAAUAGUACGGUCAAAGGAAAACAAAGUCCUAAACUACUCUAAGUGCCCUUCUUCACCAUAUGGCACUUAGACCUAGUCUAGUCUUGACGAUGUCCAUCCAUCCUUUGAAAACCGAAACGAUUUCCACUAUUAAGUAGGCAUGUACGUCCCUGUCCAUCGAGUACCUAUUACCAUGACCUUACCUAUGACUUUGCUUCUGCAAAACACACGUUAGUCAUAGUAAUCAACAAUGUCAUUAAUCACCGAAAUCACUAGGGGCCUAGAUGCUCUUUCAAUCUCCCCCUUUUUGGUGAUUGAUGACAACCUCGAGUAUGAAAAUAGUUGAGGUUUUUAAAGUGACUUGGUUUCAAUAAGCAUGUUACAAUAAGAACAAAAGGAUUAGUCAUGCUUAUAUCAACCAAGUCUAAUAUCCUGCAUCCAAAUAUGUGAGAGAUAUAUGACAGGAUAUAAACACAAGGCUCAUAAGUACAUCGGAGUAAAACGUGGAAGCAAAAGUAAUAUGAGCCAAAACACAUGACAUUAAGAUAACACAUUAAGCACAAGUCAUGUCUCACAACCAUAGUAUCUCACACAAGUGCAAUGCAUAAAAGUAAACGUGAUGCAUGGUAAAGCAGCACACAUAAAAGUAUCUCAAAAGAAUAAAAGAUCCCCCUCUCUAGCUCCUAGCUCCCCCUAACUCCUAACUCUCAUACACACUCUCUCCCCCUUUGGUAUCAAGCGCCAAAAAAAACUAAGAAGACGGUGGAGGAGGCGAAGCAGUGGAGUCCCUUGGCACGGCCUCGAAGCGAGCUGCAUCGUCUGAACUGUCGGCCGUCGAGGCGGAGGAGGUGGAGUGACCCUUUGAAGCUACAGGUGCUGGUGAAGCGGUCCGGGUCUGCUCGGGGGGUGCUGGAGCUGUCACAGGCUGUGCUGGCUGCUCGAGUCCUGCUGACGAGGCGGGCACAGACUCGGUCGCUGUAGCUGUCGUCUCUGGUACGGUAGAAGACGGUGCAAGUUGCUCGGACGACGCUACAGACGACGACAGAAGCUCUGUAGUGGUAACUGGCACCGUAAAGACUGCAGGGGCCUGCAGAGGAGGAGGCGUAGGGUCACCAGUCAGAGCACCGUAGGUGAAGCUAAGGUGCGGAUCUGUCGACGGGUCCCACACGAGCUGUGACGCUGACGCUGACUGAGGAGUGAAGCCGGAGCAGAGAGGAGUAAACUGAGGUACCUACUCAAAGCCUGAAGAGAUAGCACCCUGGGAGACCUGGUGCUGUGGCGUCGAGAACGGCUGACUCUGAGCUGGUAGCUGGAGAGGCUACUGAGACUGGCUCUGAGUCUGAGGCGCUGGAGUGGGUGGCCUGACAGUCGAAGUGCCUGGGAGCUGAAUCUGCGGUAGCUGAAUCCCUGAGGCGGCCAUGAGAGCGGCCAUCAUCGCUGUCUGCUGGGCCUGAAAUGCAAGCUGCUGCUCCUGAAAGGUGAGAAACUGACGCUGGAGCUCAUCCUACCUAGCCUGCACGGCUGCAUUGAUGGCAGCCUGGUCCCUGUCUCUCCUCGCCUGCUCCUCAGCUGCACGGCGCUGGUCUGCCCUCAUACCCUCUAGAAUAGCAAGAAGGGCUGGGUCUGAAGCACUAGAAGAGCCCCCUGCCUCGUGGUCGUGAGUUCUAGGAGGGAGGUCGGAUACUGGCGGAUGAUAGCUAUCAUCCGAGCUGUCUGAGGCAAAGUCAAACUCUCCCUCUGCCUCUGCAUCUGCAAAAGCCCCAAUGGCUUUGUCCUGCUGCUCCUCUGUCUCUGGUACAGCUGCUGUACUGCGAGUGCCCCUAGGAGAAGGUGGGGGCACCGGUCCACGUGGUGCACGAGGAGGAGGUGUAGCUCGGAGGUCGUGGUGCGCUCGUAGCAUCUGCCUGGGGUCGUAGUGGGGGAAGACAGUGUCUGACUCUGUCAACUCCCUCUGCAAGUGAACUGGCAGGGGCAGUGGCCUGGCACGGAGAAUAAGCAGAGUGAUCCAAUGUGCAUAUGGCAACUGAUGCCGUCCCCUGAAGCUCUCUGAAAUAGUGUCCUCAAUCUCUGAGACGAUCAAAUCCCACAAGUCGAACUGCGUCUGGGAGAUGAGGUGAGCAACUAGCCACUGCUGGAUACGAGUGAAUCCAUCUCUAUAGCCUGUCCUGGGGAGAAGAUUCUUCCUCAACACAAAGUCGAGGAUCCUAGCCGGUCGCGUCAGGUCUCCCACUGUCCUGCUGGAGCCCUCUCCAAAUGGUGGACGGAAACAAGGAGCCACGAAGUCAACUGGUGGUAUCUCACCACCGUGAGGACGUUGGGGUGGCUCAACGUUCCCGUAGCAGAGCUGGUGAAUCCUGAUGGAGUAGGCUCUCAACCCCAGCACCUCUCUGGCCCUCUGUGCUGUCACUCUGUAGUCUGUCCCUGCCAGUGCGUAGUGGAUAUAACUGUGAUCUAGAGAAACCCACACUGACGCGUAUAACUCUCUGACCCACUGCUCACAGUAAGUCCCAGGGAGAGCUAGUAACUCUGGAAGUCCGUGGAGGUAGGUGAAGUACUGACGGAUGUCUGCUCCAACCACGUUCCCCAGUAUCUCAAGGUCAAUAACUCUGUGCUCCCUGAACUGUGACUGAGAGCGAACCAGUGCCUCGUGGAUGUCCUCCUGGACGACUGUGUAGAAUCUGGCACCGGCUUUGGGAUCCCUGGCAGCUGGAAACCAGGUGGGAAACGGAACAAACCGCAGCUGCUGGAUCUCUCUGGCUGACACGAGAGUGAGAUCCCUGUGGAUCCUGACUGGCCUCUGUCGUGAAGCUGGAGUGCCUCUGGCUGGUGUGGCACGAGCAGUGGAGGUAGACUGGCCCUGCGUACUAGUCCGAGGAGUGGCCUGGGUACGAGCACGAGUCGACCUCCUGAGUGGCUGCUCCUGCUCCUGUCCCUCUGCUGUGCCCUCUGCCUGGGCCUCUGUCUCAGUGUCUGGGUCCUCCUGAGCUGGAUCUCUCACCACAAGCCUAAUCUGCUGUCCUCCAAUCGUCACGGUGCCUGGAGGAGAUCCAUGAAGAGCCUCGGCCUGAAGAACUGCACGCCUCUGCUGUGGCGUGAGGUCAUCUCCAAUCCUCAGAGCACCAGAGCGACCACCUCUCUCAGCUGCCUCAGCCGCUGCUACAACUGCCUCUGCGACCUCUACAUCUCUGUCACUGGCCUUGCGCUUUUUGGUGGCUAGCUUCUUGCCCUUGCCUUUUUCUGCCGCUGAUAGGCGACCGGGAGGAUCGCCUCCACCAUCACCACCUGAGGAACCUCCAGUGCCGGCUGCCGGACCGCUGACAUUUUUGCAUCGAGCCAUUGCAAAGACUACUUACCAAUCAAGCGUCUGACAAACAAUCGACUGACAACGGAGAACAACGUGCUGCAGAGAAUAGACAAGAUAGGGUAUAUAUAAGAAAUUACAUCGACUAGAGGUGAGGCUACCCUAUAGAUCGCAAGAAUAGAUAAGAGACGGGAGCAAACGGCUUACGAUCCAAGACGGGACGCGUUUCGGAUGGUAUAUCGCGAUCUGAAUCCUUCGGAGAACACGAAUCAACUCCUCAAAGUGCUGCACGGGUGAGACGAUCGAGAUCAAGAUCAAAGCUCAAUUGAAUCCUUUUGCACAUAAGAACAAGCACCUUAGGAGCAUGGAUCAAGAGACUCACCCAAACCCUAGAAAUCUCACGAGAUUUUGGAUCCACGGGAGAGAAAGAGGGAGAGGAGAGCCUCUGCAGCAGGUCUGGCGUGAGGGAAGAGGACGAGGCCGCCGGAGAUCCAAGAAAGUCGACGGCGGCGGCGGCUCGGCGUCUUAGGGCACUGGGGCGGGGACUUUGCGAGGAGAAGGAAAGGAAGAAGCCGCCGCGAGAUGCCCCUAGGCGCGGGCUUUAUGCGCCCGCCGCGGGGUCACCGGACGCUCUUUAUGUGGCAUCGGACGCGUCCGGUGACCACGGGACUCAUGCGCAGAGAAGGUUGCGUUUUUCGCAUCACACCGGACACUGGCUUUAGCGUCCGGUGUUUCAGGUCACGCAAGGUGAGCACCGGACGCUCUGCACCGGACGCUGCAGGGACUGUGUUCCUACAUCCGGUGAGUGCAGUCUGGCACACUCACCGCACCGGACGCACAGAGGCAGCGUCCGGUGCAUCGUUCGGUGCUCCUCUGAGCACUUUUUCAACGAAGCACUACACCCGACUUUGACCCAACCAAGUUCCAUCUUCAAAAGCACACAAAUAAACACCAAAUGGAACUGGUAUGAGUGACUUCUCUCAAACCCUCAAAUUUUCACAAAUAUUUAGCCAUAGGCUUAGUAGUUUUUAUAAAAAUAGUUCGAGAAAAAAUCACCAAGGAGAAUCGUAUGGCCAUAAAGCUAGGGGUUUGAAUCAUAAUGAGCUUUGAAUGCUCCCCCUAUCUAUGGACGAACACAGCGGAUGCUCAACGAAUAACCAAAAAGAAAUGGUCAACUAACAAGCAUGCAUAUGAUAUGAGUUGUGAUGCAAUACUUGAAAGUGAACUAAUGUUUGUCAAGUUUGAUCCAAGGUUAAGCUUUUUCACACACACGAGGGGGUUAUCUUAACCAUGUUAGACAAGCCCUACAUGCAAGUUUUGUAUUUUAGAUUUAGUAUGCAUGAUAUGCAAAGCAAAAGUUAUUUACAAAGAUCAACACACAACUUUUAUCUUUUAGUGAAGUUAGAGAGGUCAAGCACAUUAAGUUCAUUUCUUAACAUACAAAACCUAGCUUCAUCUAGGGGUUUUGUGAAGAUAUCCGCCAAUUGAUUUUCCGUUCUCACAUUCUCUAGGGAUAUGUCACCUUUAGCAACAUGAUCCUUAAGGAAGUGGUGGCGGAUGUCAAUAUGUUUUGUGCGGGUGUGUUGAACCGGGUUUUUGCAAGUUUUACGACACUUUCGUUGUCACACAACAAAGGUACUUUGUCUAGUACUACUUCAUAGUCUAGCAAAGUUUGUUUCAUGUAGAGUAUUUGUGCACAACAAGCACCGGCGGCAAUGUAUUCCGCCUCAGCCGUUGACAAGGCAACACUAUUUUGUUUCUUUGACAUCCAAGAGACAAGUGAUCUACCUAGGAAGUAGCACCCUCCGGAUGUGCUUUUUCUAUCAAUCCGGCACCUGGCAUAAUCCGAAUCGGAAUAGCCUACAAGUUGGAAUCUUGCACCUUUGGGAUACCACAAACCUAGGCAAGGUGUGUAUUUUAGAUACCUAAGAAUUCUUUUGACCGCAAUCAAGUGAGAUUCCAUAGGCAUUGCUUGAUAUCUAGCGCACAUACACACACUAAACAUGAUAUCGGGCCUAGAUGCGGUGAGGUAGAGUAGACUUCCUAUCAUGGAGCGAUAGAGAGUCUUGUCAAUUGGGUUACCUCCCUCAUCCAAGUCGAGAUGCCCAUUUGAUGCCAUGGGAGUCUUGAUUGGCUUGCAAUCCAUCAUCUUGAAUCUCUUGAGAAGAUCUUGAGUGUACUUCUCUUGAGAGAUGAAGACUCCUUCCUUCAUUUGCUUGACUUGAAAUCCUAGGAAGAAGGAUAGCUCGCCAAUCAUGGACAUCUCAAACUCCUUGCACAUCAAUUCACUAAAUUCCUUGCAAAAAUCUUCAUUAGUAGAGCCAAAAAUAAUAUCAUCAACAUAAACUUGGCAAAUGAAGAUUUCCCCAUUCAUUUUCUUGGUGAAGAGUGUUGUGUCAACUUUCCCAAUCUUGAAGCCCUUAUCAAUGAGGAAGUCCCUAAGCCUCUCAUACCAAGCUCUAGGAGCUUGCUUGAGACCAUAGAGAGCCUUGGACAACCGGUAGACAUGCUUGGGGUACCUAGGGUCUUCAAAAUCGGGGGGUUGCUCAACAUAGACAAGCUCAUUAAUAUAUCCAUUUAAAAAAGCACUUUUCACAUCCAUUUGAAAUAACUUGAUACCAUGACUAGAUGUAUAUCCAAGUAGGAUACGAAUUGCUUCAAGUCUUUCCACCGGUGCAAAGGUUUCACCGAAGUCAAGACCUUCCACUUGUGAAAAGCCUUUUGCCACAAGUCUUGCCUUGUUGCGCACCACUUUGCCUUGAUCAUCCUUCUUGUUCCGGAAGACCCACUUUGUUCCAAUCACUCUUGCAUCUUUGGGUCGCUCUUCAAGUGUCCAUAUUUGGUUGCGAGAGAAGUUGUUUAACUCCUCUUGCAUGGCCAUGAUCCAAUCCGCAUCACGAAGAGCUUCCUCUAUAGUCUUUGGUUCAUCUUCAAGAGACACAAAAGCGUGAUGUUCAAUAAAUAAAGCAUGUCUAGAAUGAGUAGUUACACCACGUGAUGGACUCCCGAUGAUGAGAUCUUGAGAGUGAUCUUGGAGGAGAUGUGAUGUUCUUCUUGGUGCCACUUGAGGGGUUGGUUGGGGAGCAUCAACAUCUUGUGCUUGUGCCACCGCUUGCUCAUGAGUGAUUUGAGUGUCUUCAUGAGCAUCUCUUACAUCCUUGUCUUCAUCUUGUGGACCUUGUGAGGUGGAUGGUGGCUCAAUGACUUGCACAUCAUCAUCAUCUUCUUUUGGCUUGAUAUCUCCCACCGGCAUGUUCUUCAUGGCAUCCCUCAAUGGUUCACCACCUACAUCAUCAAGAUUAUCACUUGCUCCUUAGGAGCCAUUAGUUUCAUCAAAUUCAACAUCAAAUGUUUCCUCAACCAUGUUUGUGGCAUGGUUAAAGACUCUAUAUGCCUUGGACUUUGAUGAAUAGCCAACCAAGUAGCCAAUGUCACAUCUUCUUUGGAACUUUCCCAAGUGUUGGCGCUUCUUGUAGAUGUAGCAUUUGCAUCCAAACACUCUAAAGAAUGAGACAUCGGGCUUCUUCCCAUUGAGCAACUCAUAUGGUGUCUUCUCUAGGAAUUUGUGAGGAAAGAGCCGGUUUGAAGCAUAGCAUGCGGUGUUGAUUGCCUCGGCCCACAUCUUCUCCGAAGUGUUGUACUCAUCUAGCAUUGUUCUUGCCAAGGUGAUCAAUGUCCGGUUCUUUCUUUCUACAACCCCAUUUUGUUGUGGUGUGUAUGUUGAGGAGAAUUCAUGCUUGAUUCCCACUUCAUCACAAUACUCUUCAAUGUUGGUGUUGUCAAACUCUUUGCCAUUGUCACUUCUAAUUUUCUUGAUCUUCACAUCAAAUUGAUUUUGGGCAUUCUUUGAAAACUUCUUGAAUAUUGAUGCAACUUCGGCUUUGUCUUGCAAGAAGAAUGUCCAAGUGUACCGGGAGAAAUCAUCAACUAUGACCAAGCAAUAUUUGUUGCCUCCAAGACUAGCAUAUGUGGUUGGUCCAAACAAAUCCAUGUGAAGUAGCUCAAGCACUCUUGAAGUAGAGAGGUAGGCUUUGGUUGGAUGGGUGUUUGCAACUUGUUUGCCCGCUUGACAUGCACUACAAAGCUUGUCCUUUUCAAAUGUCACAUCCUUCAAGCCUCUAAUCAAUUCUUUCUUCAUCAACUUCUUGAGUGUGCCCAUUCCAACAUGUGCUAACCUUCUAUGCCACAACCACCCAAGUGAAGUCUUGGUGAAUAAGCAAGUCUUGACAUCAACUUCAUCGGAUGAGAAAUUAACUACAUAUAAGUUGUUGUGUCGGAAGCCUUUCAAUAUCACUUCAUUGUCAUCUUCCUUGGUCACUAUUACUUCCUUCUUCUUGAAUAGGCAUUCAAAUCCAAGAUCACAAAGUUGUCCAACAGAGAGCAAGUUGAAACUCAAUGAUUGCACAUAGAGCACAUUGGUGAUGGAGUUAUCAUUUGAUAUAGCAACUUUUCCUAGUCCUUUGACCUUUCCUUUUGAAUUGUCACCAAUGUCAACAUCUUCAUCAAGAGAGGUGAACGUCCGGGGAUCUCCGGUCAUAUGUUGAGUGCAACCACUAUCAAUUACCCAAUGUGAUCCACCGGUCUUGUAGUUCACCUACACACAAGAGAUCAAGCUUGAGAUUUAGGGACCCACAUUUGCUUAGGGCCCUUGACCUUCUCUACUAGUUGCUUUGGCACCCAAAUCUUCUUUGGCCUUUGCUUGUUGGGUGGCCCCAUGAAGCUAACCUUGACCUUGCCACUCUUGUCUUUCCUUAUAAUGUAGUGAGCAUUGAAGGCAAAUGGUCUUGCAUGCUUGGGCAAGGGUGGUGGUAGUGGUGCCUUACACUCAUGAGCAAAGUGUCCUUCUUGGCCACAUUCAAAGCAUCUCUUUGGCUUUGGCUUACUUGGUUGAUCAUGAGUGGCUAGAGACUUGAUGAGCUUUGUUUGAUGAGCCUUGUAGCCAAUCCCACUCUUGUCCAUCUUCUCACUUUGAAGGUCUUUCCCUUUAGUGAACUUGGCUAACCCCAUGGUUAGAUGUUCCUUCUCUUUCUUGAGCUUGUUGUUCUCUUGAGUUAGCUUCUUGAUGAUUGGGUCAUUGUUGCUAGCAACCUCAUUCAAGAUGAAUGUCUCAUCUUCUUCUUGCUUGUCAUACAUCAAACCAAGCUUGAGAUAUUGAUUUUCUUCCUUGAGCAACUUGUUCUCAUAUGCAAGCUUCUUGUCUUGAUCAAGUGACUCAAUCACAACGGUCUUGUGCUUGGCUUGUUCUUGCAACUCUUUCUUGAGCAUAACAAUUUCAUCCUUGAGCUUGAUAGUGUCCUCAUAGCUCUCGGCCACUACCACUUUCUUGCCCUUGCAAUCAACACAUUUGCUUGUGCUCUCCACAAGUAAGUCAUCACAAGAUGUUGCUACAUCAAGCUUAGCAACAUUGUUAGUAGCAACAUGUGUUUCAUCAAUUGCAAGUUUAUAAGAAAUCUCAAGGUUGUCAUAGUUUUCUUUUAGAGUUGAUAGUUCUUCUUUCAUUGCUCUAUAUCUAGUGAUAAGCUCAUCAUGAACACUCUCAAGUUUAUCAUGUUUUUCUUUGAGCUCUUUUAGAGAGAGUUUGAGCUCCUUGAGCUUAGUGGUCAUGAUCUCAUUUUGGUCUCUAUGCUCAUCACUAGACUUAAGCUUUGCUAGAAGUGUGUCAUUUUCAAGUUCAAGCUUUUCAUUUUCACUUCUAGCCUUUCUUAUGACUUUUGUGUACUUGUUAAGCAAUUUUACAAGUUCAUCAUAAGAAGGUGAUUCAAAUUCACUAUCACUUUCACUACUCUCAUCCUCACUUUGUACCUUUCGGUCACCCUUAGCCAUGAGGCAUAGGUGCGUAGAGGAUGUAGAUGGUGGUGAAGAUGAUGGUGAUAGAGCAUCGAUGGCAAUGGCGGCAACCUUCUCAUCAUCACUUUCAUUGCCGGAGGAGUCACCACUUGAGCUCUCAAUGUCGGUGAGCCAAUCACCAACAAUAUAAGCCUUGCCAUUCUUCUUCUUGUAGUGCUCCUUCUUCUUGCCACCUUUCUUCUUAUAUUGCUUCUUCUCAUUCUUGUCAUCAUCACUUGAGUCAUCUUGCUCUUUGUUCUUCUUCUUGUAUUUGUCCUUCUUGGGCUUUGGACAUUGGUGAGCAAGAUGCCCAAGUUCACCACAAUUGUAGCACUCCAUCUCGGAGAUGGGCUUUCUCUUGCUACUUGUAAAGAACUUCUUCUUCUUGGAGUCAAAGUUGACUCCAUUCUUGUUGAGCUUCUUCAACAUCUUUGUGGUUCUUCUCACCAUAAGGGCAAUAGAUGCAUCAUCAUCACUUGAAGUUGAUGACUCAACUUCAAUCUUCUUGGCUUUGCCCUUGUGAGAAGCUUUGAGAGCCAAGUCCUUCUUCUCCUUCUUGGCUGAUGAGGAGCCAUCUUGGGGGUUCAUGUGCAUGUACAUCUCAUGAGCAUUAAUCUUCCCCAAUAUGGCGGUUGGUGUAGCGGUGGAGAGAUCUCCUUGAUGAAGUACGGUUACUAUGUGCCCAUAUUUCUCAAUAGGAAGCACACAUAGUAUCUUCCUUGCUACAUCUGCCGCACUCAUUUGAGUGAGCCCAAGUCCAUUAAGCUCCUCUACAAUGACAUUCAAGCGAGAAUACAUUUCAUUAGCAUUUUCUUUAGGAAGCAUCUCAAAUGUAUUAAGCUUGUACAUCACUAAGUGAUAGCGUUCCUCGCGUUCACUCUUUGAUCCCUCAUGGAGCGCACAAAGUUCCGUCCAAAGUUCAUGGGCGGUUUUGUGGCUCCGAACGCGGUUGAACACCUCUUUGCAAAGGCCUCUAAAGAUGUGGUUUUUGGCCUUCGCAUUCCACUUCUCGUUUUCUUGCUCUUGUGGAGUAAGAGCGGCGUCUUUUGCUGGAGGAGUGAACCCUUCGGUCGCGGCUUUUAGGCACUUUACAUCGCAUGCCUCAAGGUAUGACUCCAUCCGUAUUUUCCAAUACGGGAAGUCAUCCCCAUCGAACAUGGGUGGCGUUCCAUCCCUGUUAGACAUCUUUUCUCUAGGUGGUGAAGCCUAAAAAAUGAGCACUAGGCUCCGAUACCAAUUGAAAGGAUCAAGAUGCCCAAGAGGGGGGGUGAAUUGGGCUUCUCUAAAAAUUUAAGCAACCUAUAAGCUCCAAUUCAACCCCUUGUGCCUAGUGUGACCUAGAGAGCUACUGGAUAAAAGUUUUGCAACCUAGUUCCAAUCCUAUUCUAGCAUGGCAAUUCUAAGAAUGUAAAAGCACAAAGUAAAUGCUAGAAUGUAGAGGAGUAGUGGAAGAAAGUGCUCGGCGAUGUUUUGCCGAGGUAUCGGAGAGUCGCCACUCUCCACUAGUCCUCGUUCGAGCACCCGCGUAAGGGUCUUACUUCCCCUUGGUCCGCGCAAGGACCAAGUGCUCUCUACGGGCUGAUUCUUCGACACUCCGUCGCGGUGAAUCACCCAAACCGCUCACAAGCUUGACACGAGCCACCCACAAGUACUCCAGGCGGUCUUCGUGCCUCCAAUCACCACCGAACCGUCUAGGUGAUGGCGAUCACCAAGAGUAACAAGCAAAGAACUCUCACUUGACCCAAACAAGGCUCUAAAGAGUGGUGGAUGCACACUUGACUCUUGGAACUCACUAGAGAAGGAUUAACUCAAGAAAUCGCUCAAACUUCAAUCCUCUCUAGGCUCUUGCUACUCUCUUGCUCCACAACAAGUUUCUCUGAUGUUCAAAUGGGCAAGAGAUCUUUCAUGGACGAGGUGGAGGAGUAUAAAUACUAUCCACGAAGUCCAAAGGUCGGCCAACCGUUUUUCACUGAAAACGGGGUCACCAGACGCACAUUAUGUUGCACCGGACGCACUGCACCGAGCGUCCGGUGCUUCAUAAUGGCUAACUGUACUUGCUUCUGACACGGCACCGGAUGCUAACUCCCAGCGUCCGGUGCACCGUCCGGUGCUCGGGGAAAACUUACAAGCUCCCUGCGCAAGGGACCGGACGCUACCCGACGCGUCCGGUGCUAGCGUCCGGUGCUCGGGGAAGGCUUGCAACCUCCCUGGGUAAGGGACCGGACGCUACCCGGUGCGUCCGGUGCUAGCGUCCGGUGCUUAACCCUAAGCACGACACUGACCUAACUGUUGAGGACCUCACCGGACGCACUCAUAGAGUGUCCGUUGCAGCGUCCGGUGCCCCCUUGGGCACCCUAACUUCGUCGAAACUCGAUCGCUCCAAAACGAAGUUUGCUCCUCUCGAACUAAGGACUAUGUCUAAGCUACCUAGUGCUAGGUUUACCAAGUGUGCACCACACCUAAACCUAAAGCCUUGCCUAAUUCAAGCUACUAGAUCAAAGCCCCUCUUAAUAGUACGGUCAAAGGAAAACAAAGUCCUAAACUACUCUAAGUGCCCUUCUUCACCAUAUGGCACUUAGACCUAGUCUAGUCUUGACGAUGUCCAUCCAUCCUUUGAAAACCGAAACGAUUUCCACUAUUAAGUAGGCAUGUACGUCCCUAUCCAUCGAGUACCUAUUACCAUGACCUUACCUAUGACUUUGCUUCUGCAAAACACACGUUAGUCAUAGUAAUCAACAAUGUCAUUAAUCACCGAAAUCACUAGGGGCCUAGAUGCUCUUUCACAUGUAAUGCCCACCGAUUCCGAUAGUACUCCCAGUACGCCUCGCCAUAUAGACCGGGGGGGGGGGCAUAGGCAUGUUUGAUUUUAUGGAUGAAAGAAACAAAUUUUCUGCCAUUUGUUACUGCAUGCCUAUAGUCGCAACAUGGGUGUGUCAAGUAAUGGUGUCCUUAAAUAGUAAGUAUAAAUGGAUGCAUGUACAAGUUACACCAUAAUAUAUUCGUGGGUGCAACUCUUCAUUUGACAAAACCAGAAACGAGGAGCAACAUGGCAGGAAGAAGCGAGAGUCAUAAAGGAAAAAAAGAAGAGCCUUACGGAGAGAAGGGUGAUUCAAGCAUGAAGAAUUUGAAUGCAAGGAUGCUUCUCGGAAAAGCCAUGACAAUCCUCAAGGAAUCAAGUAAGUCUAAAAAAAUUACGAAAUGCAUGCGUGAAGCAGAAAAGUUUACUUCCUUCAAUGGGUUCCAAGCCGACGAUGAUGCAAACACGGAUGCAAUAGGUGAGUUCAUUACCAAUCCGAAUAUUAUUAUAUAAAAAAUCUAUUGAAACUGGGGGUAAACUUGUAUCUUAAUUGCAGGAUUUCAAAUGAGAAAUGAAGAUGAAGAUCUUAUAAAUGGGAGAUGAAACGAAGUCAAAGAGCCAAGAAAUUGUGACUAUCCUAUGAAGAUGCAUAUGAAGUUAGGCAAUUUUGUGCAAACACAUAAAUAAAAAUUGGUGUGCAUAACGUAGUGCUUGUGUUUGAAAUAAUAGACAUGUUUGUGCGCUAAUGUGUGCUAUGGGUUUCACAGUGUAAACAGGUGUCAUGUUAGUAAUACAGUUCAGACAUGCUAAAAAUUUGAUUCUAAUAUUUUUAGUUUUUAUUUGUUCGCAUUAUGGAUUGAUGAAUGGUU
rnacentral:lncRNA from 1 species